GUUAUGAAAUAUGGACCAAUUAAAAACGGCAACACAUGUUGUCGGUGACAAUAUACCUGGUGUUUGUAAAAUUCAGAACAUUACAUAAUAUAGAAGAAAAUGGUGCUUAAAAGUUUACCAUGGUCUUUUUAUCCGGAUGAUGAGACAAGAUUCUGGGUACACAUCGGGCUUGUGGGCUUUGGAUUUGUAUUGGCUAUAAUCACUUUUGUAGUUCAAUGGAUAAAACCAGCGCCGUAUGGCAAACAUGAGGGAAACGAGGUGAAAAACUGGGGCCCUAUGAUCCGCCAACGGCUGGGCCACAUGAUGUCUGACGCUUUGCCAGGGGUGGUGAUGUUUGUCCUUGUAGGUUUUUAUCACUUGCACAGUCAACUGGAAGGGAGCAAAGUUUUUUAUCACCAU